CCCAGACGCCCUCGGUCAUCAUGUCGUUGACGCCCAGCCAGACCUGCUCAUCCGGGCCGAUGCUCCGGCGGAUGUAGUCUCUGAGCUGGUCGUUCUCGUCGCUGGACGUGGGCGCGCCGAGGACACCGCCCAGGUGAUUGUUAAGUAGGUUCAGCCACAUGGACGCAGUUCAUCUUGCUCAAGGACACUUCAGCAGGGCUUGCUGUUCCUUCAGUAAGUUGAGCUCCUGGACGAUAUCGUCGAUCUGCUUCUGAAGCUGCUCGACAGCAGCAUCCUUAGAUGUAUCUGAGUCACCAAAGACAGGAGGAAAGUCGAAGUGGCGAGCAGUUGACCAGCAGCAGGACUCCCAGCAGAACACACGCUCCUCUGAACUCCAUGGUUGGACCUGUUGAAUGAGGCUGCUCCAACGUGGACGCUUGCAAUUUAUCUCCCCCCUCCUCUCUCUCUCUCUCUCUC